rnacentral:lncRNA from 1 species
GAAACUUUUGCAGAUCUCGGUGUCGAAAUCGCGGGAGUCGAGCCCGCCGACGUUCCAACUGCCGGCGCCGCCUCCGCGAGUGCCGACGCUGCCGAUGGUCAUGGACUACGUGUGGCACCACGGGAGCCUCAAGAACCCUUUCGUCCCGUACUCGCCGAUCAACUGGCUGUCCCCGGCCACGGCUGCCGCGGCGUCCCUCCAGUUCGGCCUCCCGAGCGGCUCCAACCAUCCCUUCCUCCUCAACUCCAACGCCGCCGCCGAUCCCAAGUUCUACCAGUCGGCUUUCCGCCCGUCCUCGCCUCCGUGGCCCCGGCCCCCGCUCUGCCCUGCCCCCACCCCCACCCGAGGCCCCUCGGCUCCCCAGGCACCCCCAGCGACGAGGACAUGCCCGAGGACGAGACCACGGUCGAUAUAGAAACCUGCCCUGAGGACGAGGAGAAGCCGCUAUCUGCCCAAAAUAUCCAGAGGAAGCACUGCAUAGGAAAGACGAAACAUCAGAGGGAUAAACAAGUUUCAGAUUGUGAAGCGCGAUGCCGCGUUGUGAAUUCUGACUCGGAUGGUGAAGAAAGUAUAAGCGGGGGUGGCUCUAAAGCAUUCAGUAUCGUAGGACUUACUGCCCCUGCAGUAUGCAGCCCCGGUGACCUUUGCAGAAAUGGUUGCUACCGGACAGACGAUAAUGAAAACAGGAGCGCUGUAGACCAUGUGAAGAAACCAUACCUUCCCAGUUGCCUCUCGUUAGUUGCAAGAAAUGAUGACCCGAAGCUUAGUCCAACAGAUGCAGCAAAUCCAGUCGUUUAUCAGCCCUUGGCAACAAAACCAUCGAUCCGGAGUUACUCUGAAUGCACUGUCUGCAAUGUUGAGCCCACUUCACCAUCAAUCUAAUAUUAAUUGUCUUCUCCGAGCUAUUUUUUUUAUUUAAAAAAAAAAAACUCAUAAUAUUAUACAAACUGUGAGAAGACAUAGAGACAAGAGUGGUAGACAUAAUAUGUGAAAGAAACAAUUCACGUUCAUAAUGUAUGGUAUGGAAGAUUGUGAACUAUCACUCUGUUAUAUAAAAUUAUAAGGGUGACGCGUAACGCAUUUAGAGGCGCCUCGAAGAAUUGGACCGCGAAGCAGCCAGGGAGCGUAGAGGUCCCCUAGUUUCCAUUAAAACUAUUGCAUUAAGUGACGAAAAUUUUGUUCGCAUAGGAUACGUUUAAAUAGGCGUCUUCAAGCAUAGCAGUCUGAAUAUUACAAAAUGAUCAAAUGAUGACUUUUACUCCUCUGCUAUCUUAGCGCAAAAAUAUAUGCAAUGAGGAUCAGGAUCGAAGGUAUAAAAAUUUCAUUUCUGCAUCCUCAAAAUUUAACUUCAAUAAAAGAGGAAGAAAGAGAAGUUCACAGAAUAAUUCUUCCCUAGCCUCUCCAGGAUUCCAGCUGUUGUUCUUUGGGAUAUGUGAACAAAAUGUUACGAUAAUCAUCCAUUACGUGAUAAUUCUAGUCAUUAAAUUUUACUCGUAAACCCGGAACCAACUACUAUGAAUGUUUUUUCCACGAAGAAUCUUUGGCCUUCAAAGCUUUUGACUCGCUAAUCAUCGGACUGCAAUGCGCAUAAUGUUGCAUAAUCAGGGACAGCAUUUAAACCUUUUCUAUUUCCUAUUGCAAUAUCAGUGUAAUUUAAAAGAGGUAAUGAGACACGCUACAAUUUUUCAAGGUAAAUGAAUUCAAAACUCUGCAAAAUGAUAUGUAUGGACUUUAGCAAUGUCUUGACGUGCAAAGAACUUUGUAUUCUGGAGCAGAAUUUUCUUCAUGCUCCGUAUUGAAUUCGUGUCGCAGACCUAAAAGUUUUGACAGAUUGUGAGAACUGUGCAAUACGUACUUUAAGUAGCAUGCAAAUUAUUUGUUCGUAGUAACCACUGUUCCAAAUUGUAAAUAUCCUAGUUUACAACGCAUAAGCAAGUUGAAUAAAAAAACAAAAUUU